rnacentral:ncRNA from 1 species
CAAAAAUCGAUGAUAGGAAGCAGUAACAGGUGAUCAUUCGAUCAGAGAGCCGGUGGGUGGUGCGAACCGGAGGAAUACGCUUGUGAAUCCGUCCUUGAGAGAAACGCUGAACGAGUUUUUUAGUAGGCGUUUACGGUAAAACCGUUAUUUUUUCGAGUGGAAAGCAAAGAGCUUUCAACUAGGGUGGCAACGCGGGUAUAACUCGUCCCUUUU